rnacentral:rRNA from 1 species
UACGUAGGCAGCAAGCGUUGUUCGGAGUUACUGGGCGUAAAGGGUGUGUAGGCGGUUCUUUAAGUUUGGUGUGAAAUCUCCCGGCUCAACUGGGAGGGUGCGCCGAAUACUGAGGGACUAGAGUACGGGAGAGGAAAGUGGAAUUCCUGGUGUAGCGGUGAAAUGCGUAGAUAUCAGGAGGAACACCGGUGGUGUAGACGGCUUUCUGGACCGUAACUGACGCUGAGACGCGAAAGCGUGGGGAGCAAACAGG